rnacentral:rRNA from 1 species
UACAGAGGUCCCGAGCGUUGUUCGGAUUUAUUGGGCGUAAAGGGUGCGUAGGCGGCGGAGUAAGUUAGGUGUGAAAUCCCGGGGCUCAACCUCGGAAUGGCAUUCAAUACUGCUUCGCUAGAGUACUGGAGAGGAGGCUGGAAUUUACGGUGUAGCAGUGAAAUGCGUAGAUAUCGUAAGGGAGGCCGGUGGCGAAAGCGAGCCUCUGGACAGUUACUGACGCUGAUGCACGAAGGCCAGGGGAGCAAACGGG